UGGGGAAUAUUGCACAAUGGGGGAAACCCUGAUGCAGCGACGCCGCGUGAGCGAAGAAGGUUUUCGAAUCGUAAAGCUCUGUCCUAUGGGAAGAUAAUGACGGUACCAUAGGAGGAAGCCCCGGCUAACUACGUGCCAGCAGCCGCGGUAAUACGUAGGGGGCAAGCGUUGUCCGGAAUCACUGGGCGUAAAGGGUUCGCAGGCGGAAAUGCAAGUCAGUUGUGAAAGGCAGAGGCUCAACCUCUGUAAGCAAUUGAAACUGUAUUUCUUGAGAUGUGGAGAGGCAAGUGGAAUUCCUAGUGUAGCGGUGAAAUGCGUAGAUAUUAGGAAGAAUACCGGUGGCGAAGGCGACUUGCUGGACACAAACUGACGAUGAGGAACGAAAGCGUGGGUAGCAAACAGG
rnacentral:rRNA from 1 species